rnacentral:rRNA from 1 species
GACGAACGCUGGCGGCGUGCUUAACACAUGCAAGUCGAACGGUGAAGCGCCUUCCUUUUUGGUGGGUGUGGAUGAGUGGCGAACGGGUGAGUAACACGUGAGUAACCUGCCCCCUUCUUCUGGAUAACCGCAUGAAAGUGUGGCUAAUACGGGAUAUUCUGGGUCUGUCGCAUGAUGGGUCUGGGAAAGAUAUUGUUUCGGUGGGGGAUGGGCUCGCGGCCUAUCAGCUUGUUAGUGGGGUGAUGGCCUACCAAGGCGGUGACGGGUAGCCGGCCUGAGAGGGUGGACGGUCACACUGGGACUGAGACACGGCCCAGACUCCUACGAGAGGCAGCAGUGGGGAAUAUUGCACAAUGGGCGCAAGCCUGAUGCAGCGACGCCGCGUGAGGGAUGGAGGCCUUCGGGUUGUGAACCUCUUUCGCCAGUGAAGCAGGCCUGCCUCGUUUGUGGGUGGGUUGACGGUAGCUGGAUAAGAAGCGCCGGCUAACUACGUG